rfam:Schistosoma mansoni strain Puerto Rico chromosome 6, complete genome
GCACUGCUGAGGAGUCCCAUAAUAGGACGAAACGGCCGGCCAGUGC